GAUCAGAGCUAGAUGAUGCUAUCGCCAGUGAAUGCCCAUUCUGUGGAGAACUAAUGAUCAAUGAGAUCACUCUUCCUUUUAUUAAACCUGAGGAAACGCAACAUUCUGCUUCAUGGGACCUCCGACCACAGACCAACUUAGCUAACCAGAGGACCAUUUCUUUGCCUGUUUGAUUUAUGUAACACCGUGACUUCCUUUUCAUGAAAUCUCUUCUUGAGCUAGCCUUGGACUGUGAAUGUGAUUUUGAGGUUGAGUGUAAUAUUACUAUUAAAAGUGUUUCUUGAGAUAACAUACAGUAAGUUUGUUCACAUACUUGUGUCUAUAUGUUUUCUUGACUAUUAUAUCAAUCUUAAAGCACUGGUAAAUAAAAUUAAUUACUAGUUACAGUUACACAGAAAGUAAAGUCGGUAUACAUUUUGGAAAAAGAUAUAUGUAGAGCAACCAAUCAUAUGUAACGAAAUUAGAAUAUAAGCAUAUAUUCUUCUUCUUUUAAUAGAUUUUUCAUGAAUUUGGUCCCUCGUUGAUUUAACUUUUCCCUUUAUUCCAACAGCAAACAAAAAACUUUGAAUCAAAAAGACAUAAAAAUAAUACAAAAGUGAUAAUAAAUCAAUUGAUAGCCUCACAUAGGUUGGACCAAAUGACAAACUCACAAGCUGUCAUUAUCUGUCUCUACUCUUAUUUUCAUAUUUUACUGAAAACAAUAUACAAACAUAAACUCUUGACAAAGUUUUGCUUUACAACUAACCCGAUAGAUUUAUAUAUAUAUAUAUAUAUAUAUAUAUAUAUAUAUAUUUCCAGUCUGUCUUUGCUAGUUAUAAAGAACGUGCAGUUCGUUUUAUGGAACUUCCUGGUGAAAUACCAAACAGGCAAGUGCUAAUUACCUUAUAUGAAAGAAAUCACAAAGCGUACCCCUGCUCGCUGAACAUAUAAUGUUUGUCGUCUCUCAGUGAACUACAUUUCUUUAUAAAGCAACGAAGAGCGGUGCAUUUUGCAUGGCUUUCAGGAACAGGAAUUUAUCAUGGUGGCCUAAAUUUUGGAGCUCAGCACAGGUAGAAAUAGAUUACCUACAUCGCUCUGAAUUUUAUGCUGGGAUCUUUGUAUACUUACCCUGUUUUCAUCUUCUUACAUUAUAUCAUUCUGUAACUUGAUUGAAACUUGUUUGGUAGUAAUCCAAAUGGUGAUGAGAACUUUGUGGAGAGCAAAGCGCUGUUGGACUACUCAAAACUGAGUGAUGGCACUGAGGUAGUCAAGCCUAGUUCAAUGGCACUCUCAGAGUAUCAUUUCUUGCUUCUUAUUGGGAAUAAGGUUAAGGUAUGUUUUGGACACAUGAGUUUUAUACAUCCCUCGUUGCAGUUUGAUCUGGCUACAUAUGUCUUUUGUGUAUUUGUGUGCUUACUUUCUGGUUUCUGCAUUCCUUAAAUGUGGUGGUAGGUUGUGAAUCGGAUAAGUGAACAAAUCAUAGAAGAGCUCCAGUUUGAUAUAUCGGCUGAUUCAGCUUCGAGGGGCAUUAUUGGACUUUGCAGCGAUGCCUCUGCUGGCCUUUUCUACGCGUAUGAUCAGAAUUCGAUCUUCCAGGUCUGUUUGGUGUUUGGCUUCUAAUCGUUUAUAAUGAUCUUAGUUAACUACUUGAGUCAAUUUUUAUGAUAUCUUACACUUUCUCAUCUCAAUUUUGGGCCCUGGAUGUCUUCUCUAGGUUUCUGUGAUUGACGAAAGCAGAGAUAUGUGGAAGGUUCACCUAGACUUGAAAGAUUAUGCUGCAGCUUUAGCAAACUGUCGUGACCCUCUCCAGAGAGACCAAGUUUAUUUAGUUCAGGUAAUCUUUGAUGUCCAUCACCGUUGGUUAAGUUACUAGGACGAUGUUUCUCAUGCAUACCUGUCAUAUCUGCAAGUCCCUUUUAUCAUCAUAGUUUGCUGAGAAUCUAGCUUGUUUUGAUUACGUGUGAAUUGGGCACAUUGUCUUGUAGGCAGAAGCUGCAUUUGCCAACAAGGAAUAUCUACGAGCAGCAUCAUUCUAUGCCAAAGUAAUCUCUAGUUCCUUUGUUUUACUUUGCUCUAACAUGGAUAUGAUUCAUUUGACGUGGUUAAAUGUUUUUCUUUGCAGGUCAAUUAUGUAAUAUCUUUCGAAGAGGUCACGUUGAAGUUUAUUAGUAUAAACGAACUGGUAAACAUUUACAUUUAUCUUUGCUUGUAUAUAUUAUAUAUAACUCAUCUCAAGACAUUAGAUCUUAUUUCUGUACUUGCUGCUCAUGAGAAAAAAAUGUGUAUCGUAUGUGGGCUUUAAUAUUCACCGCUUUUUAUUCGUUAUGUGAUUGCAGGAAGCUUUGAGAACAUUCCUGUUGCGAAAGCUUGAUACUCUUUCAAAGGACGAUAAAUGCCAAAUUACGAUGAUAUCAACAUGGGCAACAGAGCUAUAUCUGGACAAGGUUUAGCAUUUACUUCUGUGCCCCACUUAUUCUCCGUUCUCACUUCUUAGUAAACACAUAUUUUGUGGUUUCUAGUCUUCAAUAAAUGUUAUAUACUUCACACUUCAUUUGAUCUAGUGUCAGAGUUCCUCUUGUUGAUUUUACUUUCUGGUUUCUUUCUGAGCUUAUCUAUCUUAUUUCCGUGUGGUUCUUAAAUGUGCCUUUAGAUAAAUCGUCUGCUUUUGGAAGAUGACACUGCUAUAGAAAAUCGUAACUCAGAGUAUCACUCAGUCAUUCAAGAAUUCCGUGCUUUCAUGAGCGACAGCAAGGAUGUAUUAGAUGAGGCGACCACCAUGAAACUUCUGGAGAGGUAAUUUCCAUAAGCCUCCCAGGAAAGAUAUCAAAAUCUAUCUUUAGCCACAGAGAACUUAGACCUUUAUGAUGAUGGUGUGUUUUAUUUUCUGGAAUAGUCUGUUCUCUUUAAGACUGUUCUAAGCACACGACUGUUCCAGGCACAUCUCCUAGAAUAUCUUGCUUGCAGUAUUUAACAUCUGCUUUCUUCUUUUUUUCAUCUCUUUUUUACUGCUUUUCUUGUAGUUAUGGUCGGGUUGAAGAGUUGGUAUAUUUUGCAAACCUGAAGGAGCAGUAUGAAAUCGUUAUUCACCAUUAUAUUCAGGUGAACGGUGUGAUAAGUUUUAUAUUCCUAAUGAUCGAUAGAGAUACGAGGUCUUACUCAGGCUUGUUCAGUUUACCGAGUUUGUUCUUUAUCCAUUAGCAAGGAGAAGCAAAGAAGGCUUUGGAGGUGCUCCAAAAAUCUUCAGUUUCAGAUGAGCUUCAGGUGUGUAAAAAGUAACACCAAUUUUUUUUUUAAAGUAGUCUCCAAAUCUUUCUUGUAGCUAAAGCAUAUUUUACACAUUUCAGUAUAAAUUUGCGCCAGAGCUUAUUAUGCUUGACGCGUAUGAAACCGUGGAAGCAUGGAUGGCCAGUAAAAAUCUUAACCCAAGGAGACUAAUUACUGCAAUGAUGCGUUACUCAAGCGAACCUCAUGCAAAGUAAUGGCCCACUUCUUAACUAAAUGGACAUUCACAUUGUGCUAUUAGUCUCACCAAUAACUUCUCAAAUUAAAAUGCAGGAACGAGACACAUGAAGUCAUAAAAUAUCUCGAGUUUUGCGUCCACCAAUUGCAUAACGAAGAUCCAGGGAUUCACAAUUUACUUCUCUCAUUAUAUGCCAAGCAGGUCUGAUUGGUUCCCUUGAAUAUUUCUUUGAUUAGUCAUUAAACUCUUAGAAGCCUGUUCUUAAUCCGAAAAGUAACAGCGACGGAUACUACUUAGUACUCACUAACUUCGUUUUCACUUGUAAGAUUAUGACAAGAUGUUGUUAAAGUGAUACAUAACGGUUUUCUUUUUAUAUAUCCAUUUAGGAAGAUGACAGUGCUCUCCUCCGUUUCCUGCAAUGCAAAUUUGGGAAAGGUCGAGAGAACGGUCCUGAAUUUUUCUAUGAUCCCAAAUAUGCGUUGCGCUUGUGUCUCAAGGAAAAGAGAAGUCGUGCCUGUGUCCAUAUAUACAGCAUGAUGUCUAUGCAUGAAGAGGCAGUAGCCCUUGCUCUUCAGGUAAUAAUUAUAUUUUAUCAAAAAGUGGUAUUAUUCAUUUCUGUCUUCUAAUCUUUAGAUCAUUGACAUAUUUUGAAACAAAACUGCUACUGAAAGAUACUGAAUUGACUACAUUUAUGGUUCCAGUUUGUCUCUUUAGGUUUGGUUGAACAUUUUUACUAGAGCUUUCUUCUGGUAGUGGUUGAAAAGUGUUUUCUCUUUUACAGAUUGACCCAGAGCUUGCUAUGGCUGAAGCUGAUAAGGUUGAAGAUGAUGAAGACUUGAGAAAGAAGUUGUGGCUGAUGAUUGCAAAGCAUGUCGUCAAGCAGGAAAAAGGAGCCAAAAGGGAAAACAUAAGGAAAGCUAUUGCCUUUCUCAAGGAAACGGAUGGUCUUCUAAAGAUUGAAGAUAUUUUGCCAUUCUUUCCGGACUUUGCGUUAAUUGAUGACUUCAAAGUUAGUAAACUUGUACUCUCUUCCAAGCACACAAACGCUCUGUCUUGGGCCAACAAAGUUGCUAUUCCGCUUUUGUUAUUUUGCUCAAUACCGUUUGUGCAGGAAGCGAUUUGCUCGUCUCUGGAGGAUUACAACAAGCAAAUAGAACAACUGAAAGAGGAGAUGAAUGAUGCCACACGUGGUGCAGAUAAUAUCAGAAACGAUAUCAGUGCCUUAACUCAAAGAUAUGCUGUGAUCGACCGUGAAGAGGAAUGCGGGGUAAGAUCAUCCUUAGAUUGAAUAACCUUUUAUCAUAUAAGGAUACGAUUCAAUCUCAAAAAGUUUUUGGAAGCACCAACAUCACCAGCACAUCUUUUACAUUUGAAUGUAAUAUAGGUUUGUAAACGUAAAAUCUUGACGAUGACCGGGGAUUUCAGAAUGGCCCAUGGUUAUUUUUCAGCUGGACCACUGGCUCCUUUCUAUGUCUUUCCUUGUGGACAUUCUUUCCAUGCACAGUGCCUGAUCACACACGUCACAAGCUGUGCACACGAAGAGCAAGUAAGUCAUAAACCAUGAGUUCUUGUUAAAAGUUCCCUCUUAUUUACCGCUGCGUAUUAGAUACUGCAAAUUUUAGCUUGAUGCUACUUUCAGCAAUAUAUACGUCUCGAGAUUUGUGAACCAAUGUUAACAAUUGCCAGUUCAUUGUUCGGUUGGUUAUACUAAAAAUCUGUCUAGGCGGAGCAUAUUCUCGAUCUGCAGAAGCAGCUGACAUUGCUUGGUAGCGAACCGCCGAGGAAUAUAAAUGGUAAUCGAUCAGAUGAACCCAUAACUAGCACAACUACUGCAGACAAGGUAGUGACAUUUUUUUUUUCAUUUUUUAUGUUCCCUUUAUUCUCUUAACAUCAAUGUCUUGACAUACUUUCCUUACCGUGAGGCAGCUUCGAUCAGAGCUAGAUGAUGCUAUCGCCAGUGAAUGCCCAUUCUGUGGAGAACUAAUGAUCAAUGAGAUCACUCUUCCUUUUAUUAAACCUGAGGAAACGCAACAUUCUGCUUCAUGGGACCUCCGACCACAGACCAACUUAGCUAACCAGAGGACCAUUUCUUUGCCUGUUUGAUUUAUGUAACACCGUGACUUCCUUUUCAUGAAAUCUCUUCUUGAGCUAGCCUUGGACUGUGAAUGUGAUUUUGAGG
rnacentral:lncRNA from 1 species